GAUGCCUCAACUCAACCUUCUUGCUGUGAACUGUUGUGAGCAUGGCAUUAGAGACAUCACACGAAGAAACAUAUGAGAACAGUUCCAGAGCAUGAAGGUUGUCUCAGCUGCAUCCUUGCCAACCUCCUAGUGAGUUAGGGACAUCUCCUGAGGAAAGGAAGGGUGAGGUCAUUAGGCUUUGUGCAAAAGAGCCUCUGUGUCGGGAACAUCUGAGCUGCGAGGCACCUGGAGUGGUAUCUCUGGUUUGACAGCAUGCAGGAUUUGUGUUUUCUUCUAAGAAGAAAAUUAACUCUACCCGAGCCAAAACCAGGACAGUAGUGUUUCAUUCCUUCCUGACCCCAAACCUGGUGGUCAUAAAGAAGACAACACUCACAAGGAACUGUGCAAGGUCUUCAACUUUCCAUUUGAAAUCUGGAAAAGAAAUUCAA